UGCUGCUGCUGAGUUUGGACCUUCUUGAUGCAGAAGGAAGCAUAUCCAGAGAAAAGGAAGGGGAGCCUCCCCAUCCUGCGUUUUGCCAGUGGCCACUGAGGAACCAGCAGCAAGGCGACUCCGAGGAAAUGAGGAACUUCUCAGCAGACUCAUCACCCUCAUCCACACCAGAGAGAGAACCACCUCCUCCCCGCCCUGCCUGUUGUCCAGACGUGAAAUAAGAGUGACACUCAAAGAUCCCUGAGACAGGGAUAUGUGGACAACAGAUGUGCAUUUGGAGAUGAAAGAGACUGAGAAAUCAUUGCUGGCAGAGCUGUUCCUGGAAGGGAGAUGAAGGCGAGAAGGCACAUCUGGGUUACAGGAAGAGGCGGCCCCUCAUUCAACAUCUUUAGCCUAGGAGGGCCCAGGGCUCCGCACUGAAGGCAUUAAUUGGAUUUCAUUAAAGUGAAAUAGAUUUCCUAGCCCGGGAAGAGCUGGUCCAUUAAUUUCACAC
rnacentral:lncRNA from 12 species